rnacentral:lncRNA from 1 species
CCUCCAUUGGAGCUCUUCUACGAUCUCCAUUCCUCCUUCAAUAUGACAAUCUCGAUAUGGUAUCAAAGCUAGCAGAACACAUUCGCUUGAAAUCUGCCGGAUUUUUUUUUACUCAAAACCUCUCUUUCUCCGUCAUCUGCUAGGGUUUGCUUUCGCAACUCCGAACUGCAAUUUCUAUGCAAAGUGAAGGUAUUUUCUACAAAAUCGGUCAGUCUAUUCACUAUAUCAUUUAGGACAUUCGUCAAUUUCAUUGUUUAGGGCUUUUCUCAUGGCUAUCUAUCAAACUGAAGAACUCACCCCCAAUACGAGCAGAAAUGAUCAACCAGUCAUCGAUGCGAGCAAUCCUCUAUACAUUCAUCCUUCGGAUAGUCCCGGAAUGACGCUAGUACCAGUUCCAUUUGACGAAAUUGGGUAUAGAUCAUGGAGAAGGAGCGUAUUGAAAGCCUUGUCAGUCAAAAAUAAAUUAGGGUUCGUAAAAAGAGAUUGCAAGAAAUCUGCCCCCAAUUCACCUCAAUUUCGUCAAUAGGAGAAAUGCGACGACAUGGUAACUUCAUGGAUUCUUAAUUCACUUGCGAAGGAAAUUUUUGACAGUGUUGAGUAUGUCAAUGAUUCAGUGGAAUUAUGGAGGGAAUUGGAAGAUCGAUAUGAUCAAACAAAUUGUGUGAAGCUGUAUCAUAUUCAAAAGGAGAUCAAUGAUCUCGUUCAAGGCUCUUUGGACAUCACUGCCUAUUACACACGAAUGAAAAGGUUAUGGGAAGAAUUGAGCAAUCUGAAUGCCAAAUCUCAGUGCACAUGUGUUUGUACGUGUGGAUCAAAGGAAACUAUGCAUAAGGCAGAACAUGAUAGAUGACUUAUUGAGUUUCUAAUGGGUCUAAAUGAAGCCUACACAACAAUGCGAGGAAGCAUCUUGAUAAUGAAACCUCUACCAUCCUUGGCACAAGCCUUCUCCCUGUUAGUGCAAUAGGAAAAGCAGAGGGAAGUCAAACUAAACAAUCAAUUGAACCUUGAGUCUACUUCACUGCAAGUGAAUGCUGCACCUUCACCACAUCAAAAUCGUUUUGGAGCUCGGAAUUUUAAAACACAUUACAUGCCAACAAUAGGGGUCGACCAUUUUGUGACUAUUGUAAAAGGCCAGGCCAUACAAAGGAAAAAAUAUUACAAGCUACAUAGAUAUCCCCAGAAUAAUUCAUACAAAAAUCAGAACUUAAAUCGCACCAACACUCAACAAUUCAACCAAGGAAAUAACUCAAGUCAAACUCAAGGUCACAAAUUCAACAGAGGGAAAGGAGUUGUGGCAAAUGUACAUGGAGUCCCAGCUGAUCUGCUCCAUGAGAAGAAAGAUGAUCCAACCCUACAUGGUGAGAAUCAAAAUGUCAGCUUGACAAAAGAGCAAUACGGGCAGAUAAUGAAUUUGCUGCAACAAUUUCAGACAGGAGAAGGAUCUCCCAGCAAUGCCAAUAUCACCAGUUGUGUUGUUAACUUUGCAGGUAUUGUGGUCUGCACUUCUUCUAUUGACUUUGAGAAACCAUCAUGCAAAUGUUUUGAAUCUAAGACUGACUUUUAGAUCAUAGACUCAGGAGCCUCUAACCAUAUGACCUUCAAUAAAAUUGCACUUAGUAAUAUCACAACAUUACCAUACCCUGUAUUGAUAAGCUGGAUUUAGGGUGAAAGUACUUGAAUUUGGGGAUGUGAUACUCAGUUCUGAAAUUACUCUACACAAAGUCCUUUAUGUUCCCCCCUUUAAGUACAACCUGAUUUCUGUCAAUUCUCUUGCAACACACCUCAAGUAUAUUUUAUUCUUUACUGAUGCACUAUGUCUAUUUCAGGCCCUUUCAGUGAAGAGGCCUCAAGUGAUUGGUAGUAGCAAAGAAGGAUUAUACUACCUAUGUUACAUGUGUUUGAAGGGUAAAAGUACUGUUUCAAAUACUAAUGUGCCAAUUUUUGUUGCAAUUGUUCUAUUUCUACUAGUGUAAAUAGUGAAGUCUUCGGUAGUCCUCCUCAUUUACAUCCUCAUUCAACAAAUGUAAAUACUUCCAUUCACAAUAAUAAGAAAGAGUCUUCAAAUGUGUUAGAUAAACAUGAUGUAAAUUUCUUGUGGCAAAAUAGGCUUAGCCAUGUUCCCUUUGUUGAAAUGAGAGUAAUAUCCUCUAUACCAGCGAACUUCUCACCUAAACAACCAUUUAUUUGCUCCAUUUGCCCCAUGGCUAGACAAGCCAGACUUCCAUUUCCACAUAGAACCAAUACCUCUACUCAAAAUUUUCAAUUACUACAUGUUGAUAUAUGUGGCCCCUACUAUGUCACUACACAUGAUAAUUAUAAGUACUUCCUCACUUUAGUUGAUGAUUUUUAGUAGGUCCACUUGGACCCAUUUGUUAAGCAACAAAAGCAAUCCCUACAAACUCUUAAAGCCUUUGUAAACACGAUUGAAUAUCAAUUCAACACCUCUGUGAAAACCAUCAGAUCUGAUAAUGGACUGGAGUUUACCAAUCAUGAAGCCACCAUAUUUGAUCAAUCCAAAGACAUUAUUCACCAGAAAACCUGUCUUUAUACUCUACAACAAAAUGGGGUAGUGGAGAGGAAACACAAAUAUCUCCUUGAAACUACUAGGGCACUCAUGUUUCAAUCUAAAUUACCAACUAAAUAUUGGGGAGAAUGCAUUUUGACAACCACUUACCUGAUUAACAGAUUGCCCACCACCUACCUAAACAACAAAUGACAUUUUGAGCCCCUAUAUGACAAGAAGCUCAAUUAUUCUCACUUGAGGAGCUUUGGUUGUCUUUGUUAUCCUACUGUGCCUAAAGUGCACAGAGACAAGUUUGAGCCCAGGACAACUCCUCAUGUUUUUGUAGACUAUCCCUUUGGGACAAAGGGUUACAAAGUGUUAAGCCUAGCCACUAGAAAUAUUCAUGUUUCUAGAGGUGUAGUGUUUUAUGAAAGUGUCUUUCCUUUCUCUCUAGGGUCUAAGAAUGUCUCAUUGUACAAUGUCCUCAAAUCAGGUUCCUUUCCUACUUACAUUGAAAGUAGCAGUCCACACUCUAAUGUUCAAACUCCUACAAGUAUCACAUCUCCAGAAGUGCAUCAAUCCCCUGAAUCUUCACCUGCUAAUGAUAAUACAAUGCAUACAUCAGACAUCUCAUCCUUUCAUCAUUCUCCUAUCCCUGCAACUUCACAUGAGACUACCAGUCAUCAUUCACCAACACCUACCCAAUCAGAAACACAUAUACUAAGAAAAUCCAACAUAACACAUAAAACUCCUGCUUACCUCAAGGAUUAUAUUUGUAACCUGCCUAACACAUCUCAUCCUAAUGUUCUGCAAGGUUCACCUUCCUUAAGUGCACUUUUUUCCAAUCACAGUCAUGUUACCCCUGAUGCCCUAUGUUCUCAAAGUCAGCACUUAGUGACAAAUAUCUGUAAAGAUAGUGAGCCAUCCUCAUAUGGAGAGGCAACACUCAGUCUUGCAUGACAAACAACCAUGACAUAGGAAUUUGAGGCUCUUUAUGCCAACCACACUUGGGACUUAAUACCCUUGCUAGCUAGAAAGCAGGCAAUAGGCUGCAAAUGGGUCUAUAAAAUCAAACAUAAAGCAAAUGGUAGUAUAGAGAAUUUAAGGCUAGAUUGGUGGUGAAAGAGUAUACUCAACAAGUAGGGGUUGACUAUACAGAAACCUUUUCCCCUAUUGUAAGAUGACAACAGUUAGAGUCUUAGUUACUGUUAUUGUGAAGAAAGGCUGGGAUAUAUUUCAAC